rnacentral:rRNA from 1 species
AAGGGCACCACAAGAACGCGUGGAGCAUGUGGCUUAAUUUGACUCAACGCGGGAAAUCUUACCGGGUCCGGACACAUCAAGGAUUGACAGGCACAAGUAAUCACUUUACGUGAUUUACUCAUGAAAUAUGCUAGUCCUUUCAUGAUUAUGUGAUAGGUGGUGCAUGGCCGUUCUUAGUUCGUGGGAUAACUUGUCACCUUAAUUGGUUAACUUUUAAUAUGUGAUUGUGGAAUUCGCGUGAGUUUCUACCUUGUGUGGAAUACAAUCGCUCCGCAUGAUCAUUCUUUUAAACGAACGUGACCUCCACUUCUUGUUGUCCAAAUUUACGUUUAUCGUAAUAAAAAAGUCAGCUUAGAAGGAUAGCUUGUUUAAGCAAGAUGAAAGAGGAGGCAAUAACAGGUCUGUGAUGCCCUUAGAUGUUCCGGGCCGCACACGUGCUACAAUGAUUUAUGCAGUAAGCAUCUUACAAGACACUCAACCUCGUGUUGGUGCAAGCCUGCUUCGAAAGCAAGUAGGUAAUCAUUUAUAAGUAUAGAUUCCCAUUCAAGUCAUACUCAUUCCCUCUUUUGGGCUUUGAGAAUGCUUUUCACUACUUCAUAGUGGGGACAGACCAUUGUUAAUUGUUGGUCUCGUUUCAACUAGGAAUGCCUUGUACGGGUCUUUGGUUCAACAGACCACCCGGAAUACGUCCCUGCCCUUUGUACACACCCGCCCGUCA